rnacentral:rRNA from 1 species
GCCAUGCANGUCUAAGUACAUACUGUUAUAAAGUGAAACCGCGAAUGGCUCAUUAAAUCAGUUACGGUUCCUCGGAUAUUCUUUUUUACAUGGAUAACUGUGGUAAUUCUAGAGCUAAUACAUGAACAAGUGUUCCAACCUCAGCUUGCUGACGGAAGGAUCGCAUUUAUUAGUACAAGACCAAUGAUCCUUAUUCACCUAGAACCCUGUUCAGUGAUUUCGGUCGCUGUCUAAGGACUAGCAGUGGGGAUCUUCGCAAUCUCGAUUGCAUUACUUGUGAUGACUCUGAAUAACUGAGCAAAUCGUAUGGCCUCUGAGCCGACGAUGUAUCCCUCAAGCAACUGCCUUAUCAACUGUCGAUGGUAGGUUAUGCGCCUACCAUGGUUGUAACGGGUAACGGGGAAUUAGGGUUCGAUUCCGGAGAGGGAGCCUGAGAAACGGCUACCACAUCUAAGGAAGGCAGCAGGCGCGCAAAUUACACAAUCCCAGUACGGGGAUGUAGUGACGAAAAAUAACAAUACGGGACUCUAUUGAGGCCCCGUAAUUGGAAUGAGUACAAUUUAAAUCCUUUAACGAGGAUCUAUUGGAGGGCAAGUCUGGUGCCAGCAGCCGCGGUAAUUCCAGCUCCAAUAGCGUAUAUUAAAGUUGCUGCGGUUAAAAAGCUCGUAGUUGGAUUUCAGUCGAACCUAUGGGGUCCACUGAUUAAAGGGUUAGAUGGUGAUGUUAGGUUUCUUGCUUGUGUCUACGGAUGCUUGCUUGAAUCUUCAUUCCUCUUUCCUGGUGGUUACAUUCAUAGUGUUUAGACAGAAAAUUGCUCGAUAUUUGCUAUCAAUGCUCUUUACCGAGUGUUGAUUCAAGCGAUCGAGACUUUUACCUUGAAAAAAUCAGAGUGCUCAAAGCAGGCGUCCAAAGCCUCGAAAGAGGUGCCUAAAAACGGUAUGGUCAACCAUCUUUAUGAUGCGUACCACUACCUUAACUUGAAUGAUCUUGCAUGGAAUAAUGGAAUAGGACCUUGGUUCUAUUUUGUUGGUCUUAAGAAUCCAAGGUAAUGAUUAAGAGGGACAGACGGGGGCAUUUGUAUUGCGGCGCUAGAGGUGAAAUUCUUGGACCGUCGCAAGACAAACUACAGCGAAAGCAUUUGCCAAGAAUGUUUUCAUUAAUCAAGAACGAAAGUUAGAGGUUCGAANGCGAUCAGAUACCGCCCUAGUUCUAACCAUAAACGAUGCCAACCAGCGAUCAUUCUGAGUAACUAAUUUCAUGACUCGAAUGGAAGCUUCCGGGAAACCAAAGUUUUUGGGUUCCGGGGGAAGUAUGGUUGCAAAGCUGAAACUUAAAGGAAUUGACGGAAGGGCACCACCAGGAGUGGAGCUUGCGGCUUAAUUUGACUCAACACGGGAAAACUCACCCGGCCCGGACACUGAGAGGAUUGACAGAUUGAGAGCUCUUUCUUGAUUCAGUGGGUGGUGGUGCAUGGCCGUUCUUAGUUGGUGGAGUGAUUUGUCUGGUUAAUUCCGAUAACGAACGAGACUCUAGCCUACUAAAUAGACUUGCAGUUUACACUGCAGUACUCCCCCUUAGUCAACCUGUAGGUGGUAGUAUCUCUUAGUGGUUUCGGCUGUUGAGAGCUCUGCUGCUAUUAGCUUGCAGAAUUGGCUAGGGUAAGGAUGCUGUAGCACUGUAAGGACUUCUUAGAGGGACAAGCGGCGCUCGCAGCCGCACGAAACAGAGCAAUAACAGGUCUGUGAUGCCCUUAGAUGUCCGGGGCCGCACGCGUGCUACACUGAAGUGGUCAUCGUGCAUACUGUUUCCUGCUCCGAAAGGAGUGGGUAACCGCUUGAACCCAUUUCGUGAUGGGGAUUGGGCAUUGUAAUUAUUGCCCAUGAACGAGGAAUUCCCAGUAAGCGUGAGUCAUUAGCUUGCGUUGAUUACGUCCCUGCCCUUUGUACACACCGCCCGUCGCUACUACCGAUUGA